rfam:Magnaporthe poae ATCC 64411 mitochondrial scaffold supercont1.206, whole genome shotgun sequence.
UUGCCUUUAGUUUAAUGGUAGAACCGUAUUUUUCUAAAAUACUUGUUUUAGUUCGAAUCUGGAAGGGCAAG